CCCUUAGAUGUUCUGGGCCGCACGCGCGCUACACUGUUCGACGCAGCGAGUCUUAACCUUGACCGAAAGGUUUGGGUAAUCUUCAGCAAAGUCGACCGUGAUGGGGAUCGAUCAUUGCAAUUAUUGAUCGUGAACGAGGAAUUCCUAGUAAGUGCAAGUCAUCAGCUUGCGCUGAUUACGUCCCUGCCCUUUGUACACACCGCCCGUCGCUACUACCGAUUGAAUGGUUUAGUGAGAUCUCUGGAUUGACGCUGGCUAGGGGGCGACCCUUGGCCAGACUGUUGAGAAACUGCUCAAACUUGAUCAUUUAGAGGAAGUAAAAGUCGUAACA
rnacentral:rRNA from 1 species